CCUACGGGGGGCUGCAGUGGGGAAUAUUGCACAAUGGGCGCAAGCCUGAUGCAGCGACGCCGCGUGGGGGAUGACGGCCUUCGGGUUGUAAACUCCUUUCGCCAGGGACGAAGCCUUUGCGGGUGACGGUACCUGGAGAAGAAGCACCGGCUAACUACGUGCCAGCAGCCGCGGUAAUACGUAGGGUGCGAGCGUUGUCCGGAAUUAUUGGGCGUAAAGAGCUUGUAGGCGGUUUGUCGCGUCUGCUGUGAAAGCCCGGGGCUUAACUCCGGGUCUGCAGUGGGUACGGGCAGGCUAGAGUGUGGUAGGGGAGACUGGAAUUCCUGGUGUAGCGGUGAAAUGCGCAGAUAUCAGGAAGAACACCGAUGGCGAAGGCAGGUCUCUGGGCCAUAACUGACGCUGAGAAGCGAAAGCAUGGGGAGCGAACAGGAU
rnacentral:rRNA from 1 species